AUUCGGUUGAUGAGUCUUAAAUAGGACGAAACGUGCAUCCUAAAU
rnacentral:hammerhead_ribozyme from 1 species